rnacentral:sRNA from 1 species
ACAUCAGAACGUCCAUAUCCUUAUGUUCAAGGAACAAAUAGAUUAGUAUUUACCACUUUCACCAUCAGAUGCCUCAGCAAGCCUUGCGAUGGCAUCAAUCAACGAUUGCUCUUGCUCCUGCAAACAUUGCGUGUUACUUGAAAAUGAAAGGCUUAAAUAAUAUGCACAAAAGUUGUGUUUUACCUUCAGCACUUUCUUUGCCUUCUCUACCUCCAGGGGAUCUGGAUUAUUAAUACUAAAAACCCUCUCCACCUAUGUCAAAAGAUAAAUCACAAUAAUGCACACGAUGUUUGUGGUUAUUAAUAACAAAAAUAUGUUACCAGACUAACCUCUUUUAUGAGGCUCUCGGUAUGAAGUAUAUCAAUGUCAUCAGAACUUCUCUUGCCAACUCCAUUUUGUGAGGGUGGAAAAUCCUUCCGGGAUACAUGCUUUGGUAAUCCCCUCCCCCUUCCUGUACCUGGUGUUGGACCACCUCGGCUAGAUGACUUCUUGCCUCCACUACCUGGAGCACCUCGGACUCCCUGAUAUAUCCCAGGGUCAUCACCUUGCCAUCUUAUAUCUUCAGGUCCCAUCUGUAAUUUAGCAACCCAAGCAAUAAGAAAAAGUCCACACAGAUGAUUUUGAUGUACAUUACUAAUUAGUGCCCUUAAGAACAAAAAGGUGAGAUUCAUGCUAUGAACAAAAA